CCUACGGGCGGCUGCAGUGGGGAAUAUUGCACAAUGGGCGCAAGCCUGAUGCAGCCAUGCCGCGUGUGUGAAGAAGGCCUUCGGGUUGUAAAGCACUUUCAGCGGGGAGGAAGGCGGUGAGGUUAAUAACCUCAUCGAUUGACGUUACCCGCAGAAGAAGCACCGGCUAACUCCGUGCCAGCAGCCGCGGUAAUACGGAGGGUGCAAGCGUUAAUCGGAAUUACUGGGCGUAAAGCGCACGCAGGCGGUCUGUCAAGUCGGAUGUGAAAUCCCCGGGCUCAACCUGGGAACUGCAUUCGAAACUGGCAGGCUAGAGUCUUGUAGAGGGGGGUAGAAUUCCAGGUGUAGCGGUGAAACGCGUAGAGAUCUGGAGGAAUACCGGUGGCGAAGGCGGCCCCCUGGACAAAGACUGACGCUCAGGUGCGAAAGCGUGGGGAGCAAACAGGAUUAGAUACCCCGGUAGUC
rnacentral:rRNA from 1 species